GUGGGGAAUAUUGGACAAUGGGCGAAAGCCUGAUCCAGCCAUGCCGCGUGUGUGAAGAAGGUCUUCGGAUUGUAAAGCACUUUAAGUUGGGAGGAAGGGCAGUAAGUUAAUACCUUGCUGUUUUGACGUUACCGACAGAAUAAGCACCGGCUAACUUCGUGCCAGCAGCCGCGGUAAUACGAAGGGUGCAAGCGUUAAUCGGAAUUACUGGGCGUAAAGCGCGCGUAGGUGGUUUUGUAAGUUGAAGGUGAAAUCCCCGGGCUCAACCUGGGAACUGCCUCCAAAACUGCAUGACUAGAGUACGGUAGAGGGUAGUGGAAUUUCCUGUGUAGCAGUGAAAUGCGUAGAUAUAGGAAGGAACACCAGUGGCGAAGGCGACUACCUGGACUGAUACUGACACUGAGGUGCGAAAGCGUGGGGAGCAAACAGGAUUAGAAACCCCGGUAGUCC
rnacentral:rRNA from 1 species